CCGCCCCAUUCUCUGUCCUAUUGAACACCUCGCCCAGCCUAGCGCACUGCAAGCUCACAUUCUCCCCCCGGCUCCGGAUGGCGCUCCUGGAAGCUCUGCAGCCGGCUCCACUUCAAAUGGAUGGUGUGAGAGCCAACAUGUUUCUCCUGCCAUUAGUCUUCUGCAACUGUGAUAGUCCAUGCAAAUAUGAGCCUAACACAAAAAGAUGAAUGGGCCGGAAAGGCUGAGGACCAUAUGGGUGUGUUGCCACAAGGAGGGAGUCUUCAGGCUGUGGAGAGGUGGGCUGACUGCGGUCUGCACCAGGGAGGUGGCUGCUGACUUCUUCCUCCAUUGCCUUUUCAAGUCUUCAAGAGAUCUACUGUUGGCUCCGCUGGGGAGUCCCCUGCAGCAAGCUGCCCCCUGAAGAUCUACUUGUUAAGAAAAAGAACCCAGGCAGAAGCACAGUGACUUGGCUGGUCAGCCUGACUCCGGACUGGAUGCAGUAGGUGAUGAGACUGUCAAGACAAAUUUGGAGAAUUAUUGCCGAGCAAGGCAAGUUGUACUGAUGCUCCUUUCAGCCGGUCCUAUAGCCCCUUCCUCGGGAGUGUUUCCCAAGUGAAAGGACAGAGACUUCGGAGACUGCUAGCCUGAUGGACACUCGUGCCCGCUGUGAAGUUUUAAAACAAAGCAAGUGACCAGCUGAAGAAACCCCUCCUGCCCGGCAGCCCCCCCCGCGUGGUGCAGUUGCAGCCAAUAGUCAUCUCUGAAAGAAACAGAAAGACCCAGACCAUUCACAAGUCAUAAAUUUGCCCUUCCUCAUGUGUAUUUGUCUGUGUUCAGAUUUACAUGCCAUCUAGUUUUGAUCCGAGUGUGGAUAGGCGUGUUAGUCCGCUUGGGUAAAGGCAACUUUGCUCAGAUAUGUUAAUGUAUGAAGAGACUGGAUUUUCUGGGGGGGAUUGGUUUUUAUCAACAUAUAGUAUUCAUUCUUGAGCGAGAUAUAGAAAAUUCAAAACCAUGUCUUCACAGGUGGCCCACAAAGACACUCAUGCCACCACACAGAAGCACGACAUCAAGUCCCCAGACUGUGAGCGGCAAGCUUGACUCUGUGACAUAUAGCAGUUACUUCCAAGGGUGGAAAUCAAACUGGACAAGGGUAUACUAGCUACCCAAAAUGUAGUGACAAACUGAUCCAGUAGACAAUAAGAGCAGAAAUAAAACAAAAGAUGAUGUGCUCAGAAGAGGCCAAAUUGAUUUACCUAAGGGAGAAUGUUGCCCUAAAGAGAAAAUAUGAGAUGAACCUUAAAGAAGGUUAAAAAAAAUGUUGCGUAAAUAGGAAGGUCGGAGAAAAUAGAGUCCUUAAAGUGGACAUGAUAGUAUGCAAGGGCAUGGCAUAGGAAAUCCACAGGGUGAGUUUUGGAGAUGGCAAAUAUGCACUUCAACUUGACUCCACCCAGUACUCAGCACUCCUUUCUGUGCAUCUUAUAAAGAUGGUGCACACAUGUAUCUUCCCUCUCCUACCCCAGAUGUCACCUAAACUAAGCUAGAACUAAAGUUCCAGUUCGCUGUCACAAGAAAAGGGGGAAGGCAGUUGGUGGCACCUGUGUAGAACUCAUGUAGAACAAACUUCUUUUGUUCAUAAUUGCUAGUUACCAAAUUUCUUCCAUUUAGGAAGCAUUUUGCAUAAGAAAUUUCAUGACAUCUAUGAAAAUCACACUUUAUACCCGCUUCUUAGGUGAUGACACUGAUUUUGAGGAGGUUAAGUGCCUGGAUGAGGUGCUACAUACAGCUAUGAACAUUCAAGGCUGUGGUCACAAAACUCAUGAGCUGAAGUCUGAAGCCAGAAUUUUGUGAUCAGUGCCAAUACUGCUGUCACUUUCCCCACAGCCCUAAUGUCUAUCUGUGCAAACAAGUAGCUCUUUUGCUUACUGAUGGCCUCAAUGAUUUUGCAUGUGAAUUACACCAGAAUGAUAAAAAUGGGUUUUCACAACAGAAAAUUGAACAUUUAGUGGAGGACAGUCUGCCAGAAGUCUAGAUAUUUCCUUUGCAUUUUGGUCAGACAUCAUGAGACUUUUGACUUAGAUACCUGUUACAAGAUCUCUUUGACAGAAAACAUAAAUCUAUAGUCUGUAAGAAAAGUAACUUAGAGAAAAAUUCCAACCAGCCCAAACAAACAAACAACAAACAAACAAAACAAAACAAAACACGUAUUUUUAAGUGGCCCAGCAAGGACCAGAAACUAGGCCUUCAGUUGUCUUUCAAUGGCUUUUAAAUGAUUCCACCCUGCCCCAAAGAAACAUGCACUUCUAUUUGAUCAAAGGAGGUAUUCUGUCUAUGUGAUCAAGAAAUGUCUCAUAGACCAGAUCUAGUAGAUCUCUCCCGUCCCUUCCCCCUCUUUGGCCACCUCAUGUCAGUGUGAAAUACAGCUAUGAACUAGUGUAAUUGGGUCAAGAAGUUGUCAAUGAUCUGUCCCCAAGGAGUCCCAGAUAGCUACAGUUGUAUGUAUACUGUUUCGUUAAUGAUAUUCCCAAUCAUGAAGUCAUUGGUUCACCUGCACAGGUUCAAUUUCCCAUUGUACAUCUUCUCAGUCCACUUGGCCAAUGUUCAACUUUUGUAAACGCUGUGAAUGCUAUCCAUGACUGUUUCAGUGCUACUUAAGUGUUAACAAUGACCACUAGUCAUUUUGUGUUGUAAUCCUCAUUUAUUCAUGUAACUAAUUCAAAAAUAUUUGGUCCAUAAAAAGAACUAAAAUUCCCAUUCUUGAUUCCAGUCACUCUACAUUUGAUUGGCAUUUAGCAAUGAUUAAUAGAGUGACUGUCUACAUAACAUAGAUGUCCAAAUUGUGAUUUUUUUUUUUUUGUCUUAAAGGGGACAGUUAAGCUAGGUCUGCUAAGGCACAGAGCUUUAACUUUUGGAGAUACCCGGAUAUUUAACUGAUGUAACAUUCUACUUAGCUGUUUGACGUUGUCCUACAUAGUCCCAUCAUGGUUCUUGCUGUCUUAUUUUUUCAAAGUGUUUGUUGGCUCUGUCUUACACUGUUUUCACUGAGUUCAUAAAUAAACCAGUUUUGUUGUUAACGAGU